ensembl:miRNA MIR3615 microRNA 3615
GACUCUGGGACGCUCAGACGCCGCGCGGGGCGGGGAUUGGUCUGUGGUCCUCUCUCGGCUCCUCGCGGCUCGCGGCGGCCGACGGUU